GUGCUCGCUUCGGCAGCACAUAUACUAAAGUUGGAACGAUACAGAGAAGAUUAGCAUGGCCCCUGCGCAAGGAUGACAUGAAAAAAAAAAUAGUGAGUAAAUGACGU
rnacentral:snRNA from 1 species